CCCAGGCCACCUCCCGCCGUUCUCAGCCGAAACAACAGCCCCUUUCAAUCUCUGAUUGUAACAGAGCAUAUGGAGGCCGACGGCAGACUAGCAGAGGUAACCCCCUCCUCUUCUCUCUAUUUCUUAUUAUUCUUCCUAUUUUUUAAAAGACGAAUCGAAAAUAGAAAGAAAGAAAAAAUAUCACCUCUUUUGAAAUUUUUUGAUUCCUUUUUUUGUAUUGAUUAUGUGUAUGUAACCCCAAAUUCAGUGUUACAAUUGGCUUUUUAUAGACAAAAAUAAAAGAAAUAACAAUAAAAAAGAAAAAUACAGAAAAAUCCCGAAAAUUUUCUCUUUUCUCCUGUGUUUUCUAUUAUUCUUUAUUGCUCUGUGUUUGUUUUUGUUUGCUGCAGGUACAGCCGUACGGAGGCCAGUUGGAGGCUCGUGGUGGCGCUACGUGCGUGAGGAGGUAGGCACUCGUGAGAGAAGCGAACGUCACGUGUGGAGGCUUGGCUGUGGCGCUGGAGGCUUGCGACGACUUAGUUUCUAGAACCGUUUAGGGUUUCUAAAAAUGUAAAAAAAAUGGGCUAUUUGGGCUUGUAACGCGAUUGGGCUAAGGAUUGUAUCUGAGUCUGGUGAAUUUUUUUAAUUUGGACUGUUUAUUGGAUUGUUU
rnacentral:lncRNA from 1 species